rnacentral:rRNA from 1 species
GCCUAACACAUGCAAGUCGAACGGCAGCACAGGAGAGCUUGCUCUCUGGGUGGCGAGUGGCGGACGGGUGAGGAAUACAUCGGAAUCUACCUUUUCGUGGGGGAUAACGUAGGGAAACUUACGCUAAUACCGCAUACGACCUACGGGUGAAAGUGGGGGACCGCAAGGCCUCACGCGAUUAGAUGAGCCGAUGUCCGAUUAGCUAGUUGGCGGGGUAAUGGCCCACCAAGGCGACGAUCGGUAGCUGGUCUGAGAGGAUGAUCAGCCACACUGGAACUGAGACACGGUCCAGACUCCUACGGGAGGCAGCAGUGGGGAAUAUUGGACAAUGGGCGCAAGCCUGAUCCAGCCAUACCGCGUGGGUGAAGAAGGCCUUCGGGUUGUAAAGCCCUUUUGUUGGGAAAGAAAUCCUGUCGAUUAAUACUCGGUGGGGAUGACGGUACCCAAAGAAUAAGCACCGGCUAACUUCGUGCCAGCAGCCGCGGUAAUACGAAGGGUGCAAGCGUUACUCGGAAUUACUGGGCGUAAAGCGUGCGUAGGCGGCUUUUUAAGUCGGAUGUGAAAUCCCCGAGCUUAACUUGGGAAUUGCAUUCGAUACUGGGAAGCUAGAGUAUGGGAGAGGAUGGUAGAAUUCCAGGUGUAGCGGUGAAAUGCGUAGAGAUCUGGAGGAAUACCGAUGGCGAAGGCAGCCAUCUGGCCUAAUACUGACGCUGAGGUACGAAAGCAUGGGGAGCAAACAGGAUUAGAUACCCUGGUAGUCCAUGCCGUAAACGAUGU